rnacentral:misc_RNA from 1 species
UCCCUUCUCUCAGUAAUGUGAAUUGCAGAAUUCCGUUCCUCAUCUCCUCUUUGAACGCACAUUGCUCCCGCCAGUAUUCUGGCGGGCAUGCCUGUUCGAGCGUCAUUACAACCCUCAGGCCCCCGGGCCUGGCGUUGGGGAUCGGCGGAAGCCCCCUGCGGGCACAACGCCGUCCCCCAAAUACAGUGGCGGUCCCGCCGCAGCUUCCAUUGCGUAGUAGCUAACACCUCGCAACUGGAGAGCGGCGCGGCCACGCCGUAAAACACCCAACUUCUGAAUGUUGACCUCGAAUCAGGUAGGAAUACCCGCUGAACUUAAGC